rnacentral:rRNA from 1 species
UACGUAGGGGGCUAGCGUUGUCCGGAUUUAUUGGGCGUAAAGAGCGUGUAGGCGGCCAGGUAGGUCUGCUGUGAAAACUCGAGGCUCAACCUCGAGAUGUCGGCGGAAACCAUCUGGCUAGACGUCCGGAAGAGGAGAGUGGAAUUCCUGGUGUAGCGGUGAAUGCGCAGAUAUCAGGAAGAACACCUAUGGCGAAGGCAGCUCUCUGGGACGGUACUGACGCUGAGACGCGAAAGCGUGGGGAGCGAACAGG